GAUGAACGCUGGCGGCGUGCCUAAUACAUGCAAGUCGAGCGAACGGACGAGAAGCUUGCUUUUCUGAUGUUAGCGGCGGACGGGUGAGUAACACGUGGAUAACCUACCUAUAAGACUGGGAUAACUUCGGGAAACCGGAGCUAAUAUCGGAUAAUAUUUUGAACCGCAUGGUUCAAAAGUGAAAGACGGUCUUGCUGUCACUUAUAGAUGGAUCCGCGCUGCAUUAGCUAGUUGGUAAGGUAACGGCUUACCAAGGCAACGAUGCAUAGCCGACCUGAGAGGGUGAUCGGCCACACUGGAACUGAGACACGGUCCAGACUCCUACGGGAGGUAGCAGUAGGGAAUCUUCCGCAAUGGGCGAAAGCCUGACGGAGCAACGCCGCGUGAGUGAUGAAGGUCUUCGGAUCGUAAAACUCUGUUAUUAGGGAAGAACAUAUGUGUAAGUAACUGUGCACAUCUUGACGGUACCUAAUCAGAAAGCCACGGCUAACUACGUG
rnacentral:rRNA from 1 species